rnacentral:rRNA from 1 species
UACAGAGGUGCCAAGCGUUAGGCGGAAUCACUGGGCUUAAAGCGCGUGUAGGCGGGUCGUUAAGUGUGCGGGGGAAAUCCCACGGCUCAACCGUGGAACUGCCGGGCAUACUGGCGAUCUUGAGGCAUUCAGGGGCGAGCGGAACAAAUGGUGGAGCGGUGAAAUGCGUAGAUAUCAUUUGGAACGCCAAUGGUGAAAACAGCUCGCUGGGAAUGAUCUGACGCUGAGACGCGAAAGCCAGGGGAGCGAACGGG